UCAACAAUCUGGAUGCUUCUCAUAAAAGCUGCUUUUCCAUACCCUUCAGAGGCAAAAUGCCCACUACCAAUUUGUGGAGAGUCUGAUGAAGCUGUUGGGCCUUGAACAAAACCGCCCCAGAAUGAAUAAAUCCCUUUAUCUUUAAAGUGAGAGAAGAGUGAACUUGGCCAAUAUCCAACCGGUGUCUUUUCUUCACCAUACAUCACCCACCAAUUUGCUAUUUUGGGGUCCUAAGGUAAAUCAAAAUGCAUGAAAGAUUACUGAGCACACAAAAGGGCAUAAAACACUCAAUGUUAUUUUGCUAAUAUCUAGUGUGCAUGCCAUUGUUUUUGUUCCUCUGAAGAUAUAUAUUAUGCAUUUCUUCUCAUAACGUUUUCUUGUAAUAAGGGAUGUACAUCAAGAUAAUGUAUAUGGGAAUCCUUGAAGAUCAAUUGUUAUCCAUGAUUGAUACUUUUUGCUGAAUAUGUGUUAUGUUAACUAUAAGGUGAGUGGUAAUUUUAUUUUAGGCGAUGUUCUUGAUAAUUUCUCAAAUGCAUGUCAAAAGAUAGUAUGUGGGUGUGGAAUGACCAGAAGUUAAAAAAAUGAUGGUGUUCCAGAAUUAUGCAAUUGGUACCAUAUCGAGCUACCUAAAUUGGUUAUGUGAAUCAACUAAUUCAAGUAAGUACAAAUUUUCAUAUGCACCACCUGUAAAUUAUAUGUAGAAAAAUGACAAUUUCAUUGAGCAAGCGAGUACCUUGAAAAUGUAAAUGUCUAUCACAUAUUGUGGUCCGUUAUAGACUGAAACAGGAAGUACUCUUCCUCCAAGACCAACACGGUGACUAACUUGCACAAAACCAG
rnacentral:lncRNA from 1 species